GUCUCUGUUUGUCGGUGCUACGAGAAAAAAUUAAUCACCGAUUAAAAGUUACUUAACGAAGAAGCCCGGAUACUAAAAGAAGCAUUGGAGCUGUUUUUUGUCGAACAUGAGUGACGCUGAACGCUAAACACACCCGCAGCGCGAAGGUCUACUUGUUCAGCCUCUGCAGCUUGGACAGAGACACAAACAUCACCUUCCAGACCAACAGGUGUCACUAUUUCAUCCACAACAUUGUUGCAGAGACAUCGUCCACGAUCGCAGAGACAUGGUCCAUGAUCGGAGAGACAUUGUUGAGGAUGAGGGAGACAUCGUCCACGAUCAGAGACGUUGUCCACGAUUGCAGAGACCUUGUCAAAGAUGAGAGAGACGUUGUCCAUGAUCAGAGACAUUGUCCCAUGCUUCGUAGAGACCUUGCGAUAGAAUCGGCGGAGACGGGGGUCACCGAUUUGACGGCACUGCCCGCGAUCAUGGAGACAUUGUUGAUGUUCACAGAGACACCGUCUAUGAUCUCAGAGACAUCGUCCACAAUCACAAAGACAUUGUCCAUGAUCACAGAGACUUUGUCCAUAAUCUCAGAGACAUUGUCCGCGAUCACAGAGACGCAGUCCACGAUCACAGAGAGCUAUCGUACAAUGAAGAAGUUCUUUGAGACCAGGACAGAGGCCUCCACGUAAUUCACAAACAGUGUCACCACUUUGUCCACGACAUCGUCCACGAUCGCAGAGACAUGGUCCAUGAUCGGAGAGACAUUGUUGAGGAUGAGGGAGACAUCGUCCACGAUCAGAGACGUUGUCCACGAUUGCAGAGACCUUGUCAAAGAUGAGAGAGACGUUGUCCAUGAUCAGAGACAUUGUCCCAUGCUUCGUAGAGACCUUGCGAUAGAAUCGGCGGAGACGGGGGUCACCGAUUUGACGGCACUGCCCGCGAUCAUGGAGACAUUGUUGAUGUUCACAGAGACACCGUCUAUGAUCUCAGAGACAUCGUCCACAAUUACAAAGACAUUGUCCAUGAUCACAGAGACUUUGUCCAUAAUCUCAGAGACAUUGUCCGCGAUCACAGAGACGCAGUCCACGAUCAGAGAGCUGUCGUGCAAUGAGGAAAUUCUUUGAGACCAGGACAGAGGCCUUCAGGUGUCACUAUUUCAUCCACAACAUCGUCCACAAUCGCAGAGACAUCGUCCACGAUCGCAGGGACAUGGUCCAUGAUCGGAGAGACAUUGUUGAGGAUGAGGGAGACAUCGUCCACGAUCAGAGACAUUGUCCAUGAUCGCAGAGACCUUGUCAAAGAUGAGAGAGACGUUGUCCUUGAUCAGAGACAUUGUCCCAUGCUUCGUAGAGACCUUGCGAUAGAAUCAGCGGAGACGGGGGUCACCGAUUUGACGGCACUGCCCGCGAUCAUGGAGAUAUUGUUGAUGUUCACAGAGACACCGUCUAUGAUCUCAGAGACAUCGUCCACAAUCACAAAGACAUUGUCUGUGAUCACAGAGACUUUGUCCAUAAUCUCAGAGACAUUGUCCGCGAUCACAGAGACGCAGUCCACGAUCACAGAGAGUCUUUGUACAAUGAAGAAGUUCUUUGAGACCAGGACAGAGGCCUCCAGGUAAUUCACAAACAGUGUCACCACUUUGUCCACGACAUCGUCCACGAUCGCAGAGACAUGGUCCAUGAUCGGAGAGACAUUGUUGAGGAUGAGGGAGACAUCGUCCACGAUCAGAGACGUUGUCCACGAUUGCAGAGACCUUGUCAAAGAUGAGAGAGACGUUGUCCUUGAUCAGAGACAUUGUCCCAUGCUUCGUAGAGACCUUGCGAUAGAAUCGGCGGAGACGGGGGUCACCGAUUUGACGGCACUGCCCGCGAUCAUGGAGACAUUGUUGAUGUUCACAGAGACACCGUCUAUGAUCUCAGAGACAUCGUCCACAAUCACAAAGACAUUGUCCAUGAUCACAGAGACUUUGUCCAUAAUCUCAGAGACAUUGUCCGCGAUCACAGAGACGCAGUCCACGAUCACAGAGAGCUAUCGUACAAUGAAGAAGUUCUUUGAGACCAGGACAGAGGCCUCCACGUAAUUCACAAACAGUGUCACCACUUUGUCCACGACAUCGUCCACGAUCGCAGAGACAUGGUCCAUGAUCGGAGAGACAUUGUUGAGGAUGAGGGAGACAUCGUCCACGAUCAGAGACGUUGUCCACGAUUGCAGAGACCUUGUCAAAGAUGAGAGAGACGUUGUCCUUGAUCAGAGACAUUGUCCCAUGCUUCGUAGAGACCUUGCGA